GAUCACAAGCGGAAGUAAAUAGUCAGGUUGGCACGUUAGCUAGCGAGGAGCGUCAAUAAAGUGACAAGUUCAACGCGCAUUUGUUCGCCUUUUAAAUCAUUCUUUUUAAUUCCAAUUGACCGUCAAAAGCUGCUAUAACGGCUUGACUCGCAGGUGCACCGCAGACGUGGCUCUGGAGCGAUUAAACCGGCAGAGCUCGAUAGCACGUUUGAGGCCUGCAACCUGCGCUUAGCCAGCCUAGUUGCCGCUAACUUGCAGCUAAACUCUUAACUUACCUAACUUACUCCGUUUAAUGUCUGACAUUCUUACAGACUUACUUCCUUUAAUGUGUGACAUUCUCCCAGGCCUGCUUCGUGUAAUUCUCCCAGGCCUGCGCAUAUAGUAGUCCCUCCAGGUAGCGUCGACUCUGGCCGUGGUGCCUCCAAAGUUUCAGCUUGAUCUAAAAUGAUCAUUGAAAAUCUGGAUGCUUUGAAAACAUGGCUGUCCCAAACACUGGAGCCCAUCUGCGAAGCAGACCCUUCAGCCCUGGCCAAGUAUGUUGUUGCCCUGGUGAAGAAAGACAAGACUGAGAAUGAACUCAAAGCCUUGUGUAUUGACCAGUUGGACGUCUUUCUUCAGAAAGAAACCCAGCAAUUUGUGGACAAGCUGUUUGAAGCCGUCAACAACAAGAGCUAUCUGCCUGCCACGGAACAAACUCCCGCUGUGGUGAAGCCGCUGGACAAAGAUGAGCAGAAAAACGAUGAGACAACCCGAGAAGAGGAACGUGACAAAAAGUUUCCUCGACGUGUGAAUAACAGCCCUCCACUAUCAAGUUCCCGCUACAGCAGAGAUGGCAGGAGAGCAGACGACCGUAAGAGGGACGACCGUACCAGAAAGAGGGAAUAUGACCGCAUCCCACCGAGGAGGGAUUCCUACCGGGAUCGCUACAAUCGGAGAAGGGGCCGCAGUCGUAGUUACAGUCGUAGCCGAAGCCGGAGCUGGAGCAAGGAUCGUACUCGAGACCGGGAGCGUGACCGGGAUAGAGAGAGGGAUAGGGACCGUGACCGAGACAGAAGCAUGAGUCCCACUCACAGCAGAACCCGCUCUCGAAGUAGAGAACGAGAUUCUGGGAAGUCCAAGUACGAUCAAGACCGAGCGGACAGGUUGGAAGGCGUCGAUGGCUACACGCCGACCGUUCUGGUUUCCGCGGCAACCACCUCGCAUUUCCCAGUGCCGACUCUGAGCAGCACCAUCACGGUCAUAGCUCCCACUCAUCAUCACAACAACAACACAACCGAGAGCUGGUCAGCGUUCCACCCGGAUCGGCCGGUGGAUCACGGUCCCUUCAGGGGGCCCCCUCCUCAGCAGCGAAAACGCUGCCGGGAUUAUGACGAAAAGGGCUUCUGCAUGAGAGGAGACAUGUGCCCCUUUGACCAUGGAAGUGACCCAGUCGUAGUGGAGGAUGUCAGUCUGCCCAAUAUGCUGCCCUUCCAACCUCCACCUAUGCCUGGUGUGGACCCCCAACCGCCCCCAGGUCUUCCACCUCCACCUCUCAUGAACCCGCCACCUGUGAAUUUGGGGCCUCCUGUACCCCCACCAGGCGCCCUCCCACCAAGCCUGCCGCCGGUCGCCGGACCACCUCCUCCUCUUCCACCACUUCAACCAUCAGGAAUGGAUGCACCCCCCAAUUCCGUUACGAGUGCUGUUCCCACCAUUGUCACUUCUGGAAUGCGCUCUUCGGUGCCUCCAAUGUCAGCACCACGUUUCCCCUCAGACACCUAUGAGACUGACGUGUAUAAUCCUGAGGCUCCCAGCAUCACCAUCAGCUCCAGGCCAAUGUACCGCCAUCGUGUCAAUGCCCAGAGGCCCAACCUGAUUGGUCUCACAAUGGGGGAUGUGGACCAGCCACAGAGAGACAAGGUCCCAAACAACAGUAUGAGGAUAGUGAUGGACUCUGGCCUAAGAAAGAGACCAGUUGGUCCACAUGAUGGAGGCACUGUGCACCAGAAACCUUGGUUUGACAAGCCUAACUAUAACAAGCCCAACCACCUGGGCUACUACAGGAGAGGCCCGUUCAACUCCCCCAACACAAAGCUGCUGGUUCGGCAAAUUCCUCCCGAGCUCAACAACAUCAGCAAGCUCAAUGAUCAUUUCAGCAAGUUUGGAACCAUCGUCAACCUUCAGGUGGCGUACCAAAACGACCCAGAAGGUGCGCUGAUCCAGUUUGCAUCCCCAGAUGAGGCCAAGCGGGCCAUCCAAAACACAGAGGCUGUCCUCAACAACCGCUUUAUUCGGGUCCAUUGGUUUCGUGAGAACGGAGGUGAUGGCCACGGCCAGUCUUACCCACAGCAGGUGCAGCCCCUGCCAGUCACACAGCCCUCAGCAACAUCGUUGAAACAGUCCGUCAAAGAUCGCCUCGGGCCUCUUCUCACCGCAAACUCUGAGCCGUCCCAGGACUCCAACGUAGCCGCCCAGAAUUCUGCCAAAGCAUCAGUGAAGGAGCGUUUGGGUUUCUCCACCAAACCUGCUUCUCCGGUCGAGAAGGUGUUUUCUACCUCUGCGGGCCUUUCCAAGACCGUAUACAAUCUUGCUGCCGUGAAAGCUGUCCAGAAAACCACAGAGGAUGCCCUAAAGAAGAAGCAGGAAGCCCUAAGGUUACAGCAAGAUGUAAGGAAGAAGAAGCAGGAAAUACUGGAGAAGCACAUUGAAACACAGAAGCUCCUCAUCUCCAAACUGGAGAAGAACAAAGCGAUGAAAGCCGAGGAUAAAGCCAAGAUCAUGCAAACCUUGGGCACCCUGACCAAGAGCAUCACCAAGCUCCAAGAAGAGAUAAAAGGCAUCUCGAGCAGCCGCAACCUUCUGCAUGCAGCCAAGAGCAAGGCCCAAGCUCAGAAAGAACUGCUUGAUGCAGAGCUGGACCUCCACAAGAAGACUCAAGCUGGGGAGGACACAGCUUUGUUGAAGCUCAAGUAUACCCAGCUGCAAAUCGAGGCGGCUAAAAGGGGACUCCUGGCACGGGGCCGGGGCCGGGGCCGAGGGGCGCCAGCUCGCGGCCGCGGCGCUCCAAGGGCCCGGGGACGGGGGAGCAGAGGGCGGGGACGAGGCGUCUCACUGCACGCAGUCGUGGACCAUCGACCGCGAGCUCUUCAGAUCUCUGGUUUCACUGAGCUCGAGCGAGUAGAUCUGCUGCCACACUUUGCUCAAUUUGGAGAAAUCGAGGACUGCCAGAUCGAUGACAACGGCCUGUCAGCAAUCAUCACCUACAGGACGAGAGCCGAGGCAGAGCAGGCAGCCCUUCAUGGCCCCAAGUUGAACUCCCACAAUUUACAGCUGGCCUGGCACAAACCUGCCAUCACGCUGAGUGCUGCGGAUGCUAACGAGGCCGAAGCAGAGGAGGAUGAGUAUCCUGAAGAAUCCCUGAGUGACGACGCCUUGCUGCAGGACGACGACGAGGAGGAGGACGACAACGAGCCUCGCUCCUGGCGCAGAUGAACAUCUCCUGCACUUUUAUUUAUUCCACUGCCUCUUCAUUCAUCCACGGCCAACAAACUUUGAUUUUAAUAUCUUUUCCACAGGCAACCUUUUUUUUUUUUUUUUUUAUGCUCUUAAUGUCGAUUUUUUUUCCCUCCCCCGGGAUCAUUUUUGAUCAUAGAAGUGGUAGUUUGUCCGUUUGUUUACCUUUGAACUCAAGCUUUUUGUGGAGUAGUACUACAGUAUUGAUCAUAUGUAAAUAUUUUAUGUCUGCUUUGAAAUAAUUUGUACGAAAGCUUAGUUUCUCAGUUAUUUGGCUUCAACUUUGAAUUGUAAAAAAAAAAAAAAAAAACCCAAAAAAUAAAGAAUUGAAAUGGUCAGGAGACACUGCCAGGAAAAGGGUGGAAAAGAGAAAAAAGUAUGGCAGUGAAAAGAUUCCCCCUUUAAAAAGUUGCAAAUGACCAUUUCAAAAAAACAAAAAAAAAAACAUGUUCACCUAAAGAGCAAAUUUCCUCAACAAUUCCUCCUUGUUGUCUCCGUAAGGUAAUAAUAAUAUUUGUAAUGUCUGAAUCUACACUGAAGGUGCUGCUCAUCUUCUGAAGAAACUACCGGUAUUCUUAUUGUUGUUACGCACUGUCAAUAGAAUGUCAUAAAUGCACUUUUGUACAAUUAAUUCUCGGUUUGAUUAUUUAAUGAACACAAGGACAUUGAAGUCCUUUCAUUAAUCGAGGAAAUAUUUAAAAUCCAGAAACAAAAAUAAAUAUAUUUUGAUCAAAUAAUGUCCAAUAACACACUUGAGAUGGUUUUUAAA